GUAGGGUGCGGGCGUUAAUCGGAAUUACUGGGCGUAAAGCGUGCGCAGGCGGCUCCUUAAGUCAGAUGUGAAAUCCCCGGGCUUAACCUGGGAACUGCGUUUGAAACUGUGGAGCUAGAGUGUGGAAGAGGGGGGUGGAAUUCCAGGUGUAGCAGUGAAAUGCGUAGAGAUCUGGAGGAACACCGAUGGCGAAGGCAGCCCCCUGGGCUGACACUGACGCUCAUGCACGAAAGCGUGGGGAGCAAACAGGAUUAGAUACCCUGGUAGUCCACGCCCUAAACGAUGUCAACUGGUUGUCGGGGAAGUUAUUCCUUGGUAACGAAGCUAACGCGUGAAGUUGACCGCCUGGGGAGUACGGCCGCAAGGUUA
rnacentral:rRNA from 1 species